GACGAACGCUGGCGGCGUGCUUAACACAUGCAAGUCGAACGGAAAGGCCCUGCUUUUGUGGGGUGCUCGAGUGGAGAACGGGUGAGUAACACGUGAGUAACCUGCCCCUGACUUUGGGAUAACUUCAGGAAACUGGGGCUAAUACCGGAUAGGAGCUCCUGCUGCAUGGUGGGGGUUGGAAAGUUUCGGCGGUUGGGGAUGGACUCGCGGCUUAUCAGCUUGAUGGUGGGGUAGUGGCUUACCAAGGCUUUGACGGGUAGCCGGCCUGAGAGGGUGACCGGCCACAUUGGGCCUGAGAUGCGGCCCAGACUCCUCCGGGAGGCAGCAGUGGGGAAUAUUGCACUAUGGGCGGAAGCCUGAUGCAGCAACGCCGCGUGCGGGAUGACGUCCUUCGGUUUGUAAUCCGCUUUCGCCUGUGACGAAGCGUGAGUGACGGUAAUGGGUAAAGAAGCACCGGCUAACUACGUG
rnacentral:rRNA from 1 species